rnacentral:rRNA from 1 species
GAUGAACGCUGGCGGCGUGCCUAAUACAUGCAAGUCGAGCGAACAGAUGAGGAGCUUGCUCCUCUGACGUUAGCGGCGGACGGGUGAGUAACACGUGGAUAACCUACCUAUAAGACUGGGAUAACUUCGGGAAACCGGAGCUAAUACCGGAUAAUAUAUUGAACCGCAUGGUUCAAUAGUGAAAGACGGCUUUGCUGUCACUUAUAGAUGGAUCCGCGCCGCAUUAGCUGGUUGGUAAGGUAACGGCUUACCACGGCAACGAUGCGUAGCCGACCGGCGAGAGGGAUAGGCCACACUGGAGCUGAGACACGGUCCAGACUCCUAAGGGAGGCAGCAGUAGGGAAUCUGCCGCAAUGGGCGAAAGCCUGACGGAGCAACGCCGCGUGAGUGAUGAAGGUCUUCGGAUCGUAAAACUCUGUUAUUAGGGAAGAACAAAUGUGUAAGUAACUAUGCACGUCUUGACGGUACCUAAUCAGAAAGCCACGGCUAACUACGUG